rnacentral:lncRNA from 1 species
AAAAAUCAAAGUGAGGCCACUACAAAUAUUUUGAGUGUUUUGAUCAUCUUCUUCGUUCUCUCUACCCCUUCUCCUGAUUCCCCGCUUCUCAGAUCCCUUUCUGUAAUUGUCUGUCUUUCAAGCUUCAAUUUUUCUGGGUUUGUUUUCUUGAUUUUGAAUUACACAAAAAGAAUCAAGCCCAUAAGGGUGUUUUUGAAAGCCAGGUGUUUCAGAAUAGUGAUCCAGAUUUUAUUUUUUUUGUUGGUAUUACAUCAGUUUUCCUUUUUAAUUCAUCAAAGCAACUAAAAGGUUUUUUUUUUCCCUCAGGUUGGUUUUAGGUCUUAU